UGGGGAAUAUUGCACAAUGGGCGCAAGCCUGAUGCAGCGACGCCGCGUGGGGGAUGACGGCCUUCGGGUUGUAAACUCCUUUCGCUAGGGACGAAGCUUUUUGUGACGGUACCUAGAUAAGAAGCACCGGCUAACUACGUGCCAGCAGCCGCGGUAAUACGUAGGGUGCGAGCGUUGUCCGGAAUUACUGGGCGUAAAGGGCUCGUAGGUGGUUUGUCGCGUCGUCUGUGAAAUUCCGGGGCUUAACUCCGGGCGUGCAGGCGAUACGGGCAUAACUUGAGUACUGUAGGGGUAGCUGGAAUUCCUGGUGUAGCGGUGAAAUGCGCAGAUAUCAGGAGGAACACCGAUGGCGAAGGCAGGUUACUGGGCAGUUACUGACGCUGAGGAGCGAAAGCAUGGGUAGCGAACAGG
rnacentral:rRNA from 1 species